rnacentral:rRNA from 1 species
AACGCGAAGAACCUUACCUGGGCUCGAAGCGCAGUGGAAUCCGGUGGAAACAUCGGCGCCCCUUAAAAGGCUGCUGCGGAGGUGCUGCAUGGCUGUCGUCAGCUCGUGUCGUGAGAUGUUGGGUUAAGUCCCGCAACGAGCGCAACCCUUACCGUUAGUUGCCACCAUUAAGUUGGGCACUCUAGUGGAACUGCCGGUGAUAAACCGGAGGAAGGUGGGGAUGACGUCAAGUCAUCAUGGCCUUUAUGUCCAGGGCUACACACGUGCUACAAUGGCCGGUACAAACCGCCGCAAACUCGCGAGAGGGAGCCAAUCGGAAAAAGCCGGUCUCAGUUCGGAUUGGAGUCUGCAACUCGACUCCAUGAAGUUGGAAUCGCUAGUAAUCGCAGAUCAGCACGCUGCGGUGAAUACGUUCCCGGGCUUGUACACACCGCAUAC